UAUAUUUAUUUGUAUAACCUGUUUUGUGCAGGUAGCACGUCCUGAUUCUGUGCAGGUUUGUUGUAAUGGAUUAUCGACUGAAAUGGUACCGUCCUGAUUUGUUUCGCAACUUUCUAGGUAUUGCGAAAAAAGUAUCCUCAAUUGGUCAGCUGCAUAAUGGAGUGUUCAUGCAACAGGUUCAUAAAUUUCAUGCCUUUUUUGGAAUUACGUUCAUUGCUCUAUUGCAUCGAUAUUUAACUUUUCAUGUCUAACAGGAUGCUGAAGAAUGCUGGAAACAAAUUCUAUACACACUUUCACAAUCUCUAACUUUCAAAGAUUCAAAAGAUAAACGAGGAACAGAAGAAGCAAAUCCGCAAAAAUGAACGUGUUCUUAAAGUUGCUGAGAACAAGCCAAACAUGAAGGCCUCAAUUGAUGGAGUAAGGUUUGUUUCAACUUGACACUAUAAUAGAUUCAGAGACCUUUUUUAAAGUAUUCAUAAUCUCAGGGACUGAUUUGAGAGCGUCCUACAAAGUCGGACUAAUUUGGUGGUUUACUCAAUACGUUUAAAAGCUGAAACAUUAACUGCUGAUGUCAGUGAUAUCAGUUCAGUUGUCAGCAUAAGUGAUAGGAUAGUAAGAUCAGCUCCAGGUAAUGGAUCCAGAUUAACUGUUGGUUGUCCCUGAUGAGCAAGUUCAGCUUAAAAAAGUCAAGGGAAGUUCGGAUACCCCUGCUGAGCAAAUUCAGCUUGAAAAAGUCGAGGGUGGUUCGACAAUCGUGAAGCUUAUUGCUUCUGCGCAGCAAACCAACCCCAAACAGUGUUGCUGGAAGACUUAGGUCUAGGACAAAAAAUCCUUGAUGAGGAAAAUUUCCUUAAUCCAACCCAGGGUAUGUUGAAGAGAACAUUCAACAUUGCAUUUUGAUGUUAUCAAAGUUGAUAAUUUGGUAAGAAAACCUGUUUUGGCAUA